AUUGAACGCUGGCGGCAUGCUUUACACAUGCAAGUCGAACGGUAACAGGCCUUCGGGUGCUGGCGCGUGGCGAACGGGUGAGUAAUGCAUCGGAACGUGCCCAGAGCUGCAGGAUAACGCAACCCAAGCUGUGCUCAUACCGCAUGUGAUCUGAGGAUGAAAUCGAGGGCCCAGGCCGCAAUGUUUGGCCUCGCGCCUUUCUAGCGGCCGAUGUCGGAUUAGGUAGGUGGAUGGGUAAAGGCCUACCAAGCCGACGAUCUGUCGCUGGUCUGGGAGGACGAUCAGCGACAUUGGAACGGAGACACGGCCCAGACUACUACGGGAGGCAGCAGUGGGGAAUGUUGGACAAUGGGCGCAAGUCUGAUCCAGCAAGGCCGAGUGUGGGAAGAAGGCCUUCGGGUGGUAAUGAGCUUCUGUACGGAAUGAACAGGCUUUGGCUAAUACCAGGGGCUGAUGACGGUACCGGAAGAAUAAGCACCGGCUAACUACGUG
rnacentral:rRNA from 1 species